AUGGCGAAGGACUGGAUUCUUCCAGACAUCAGUUUGAUCCAGAACACGGGGCCGGAGUGGUUAUUCGGUGUUCUGGAGCCCCUCUCGGAUACUUCUCGCAUGGUGGCCCUAAUGAUAUUCUGGAGAUCAUGGCACGUUCUUAAUGAGAUCAUUCAUGACAAGGAACCGCCCCCCACAGAAGUUUCCUGCAGAUUCUUGCAUAGCUAUAUUUCUUCGCUUCUCUGUAUUCAGCAGCACCCAAUGGGAGAUGUUGUAAAAGGCAAAAUGGUGCUCACAGACCCGGCAUGCCUAGCUGGUGUAGUUGCUGCGCCGGCGCCGAGCACGAGAGGCGCAGAUCCGCGACCAACAGAGAAGUGGGAACCUCCCCCUGCUGGAUGGCUAAAGCUGAACAUUGACGGUGCCUUCUCCGAGCACGCAGGUAAUGGUGGAGCUGGUAUGGUCCUGAGGAACAGCGACGGCAACAUUAUCUUCACUUCAUGCAGACACUUGUUUGCAUGUGAUAAUGCACUACGAGCUGAGUUGGAGGCGUGCAAAGAGGGAAUU
rnacentral:rRNA from 1 species